rnacentral:rRNA from 1 species
UGAAACUGAUCUCUCCGUGAAGAAGCGGGGAUGAAUCUAUAAGACGAGAAGACCCCAUGGAGCUUUAAACCCGACAGCACCCGCUUACUUUAUACCUAAUUAUAUGCCCGUUGCCUGUCUGCUCGGUUUUAGGUUGGGGUGACCACGGAGUACAAAAUAACCUCCAUGAAAAAGGGGAUAAAUACCCUUAUUAGAGAACAACACUUCCAAAAACUAACAAAUUAAUUUCUAAUGAUCCGACAUUCGAUCAACGAACCAAGUUACCCUGGGGAUAACAGCGCAAUCCACCCCGAGAGCUCCUAUCGACAGGUGGGUUUACGACCUCGAUGUUGGAUCAGGGUAUCCCAGUGGUGCAGCAGCUACCAACGGUUCGUUUGUUCAACGAUUAAAACCCU